UAUGGACCUACAGAGCUGAGAUUUUCUUUUAAAAAUCUUAAUUUGUGUUCUACAGAAGAAACAAAAUCAUACACAUCUGGGAUGGCAUGAGGGACUACUUCGAGAUAAAAAGGUAACAAGACUCUGGUAACAGUGAAAUCUGGAGAAGGACAGCGGGCUUCAGCCCAUUCAACAGUGAAAUCUGUCAGAUAAUCCCGGAGUCAUCCAUGACAUCGCUCAUCGUGACUGUCUGUCUGUCAACCGUUCACCAGUCACAUCUGUGUCCACGUGUAAACCCCUGAAGCAAGGGUCUUCUGAGAGCCUCUGUAGGACUCCUCUAACAGCAUUAAACUCAGACGUGUCUGACCGCGCGAUCCAGGUUUAGCUGAUCCUCUGUUGGGCUAUCUGCGCCGUAUCCCAUUGACGCACAAAGACACCGGUCUAAUUCAGGGAUCUGACCCGGGUCAUGAGGGAGGGACGGGGUGAGUAUUAUAAAAGAAUGGGAGUGUGUCAGAGAAGAGGAGUGUGAUCUGUUACUGCAAAGCCAUCUGAGACUGAGUCUUGACUGACUUUUAUUUCACAUCACAACAUCAUCAGCUCAAGCCACGAUUGUGGGAAGCAGCCUCCAUCAAGAUCUCCAGAAAAAGGUUCAAGUGAACUGCAGCUUUCAGCUGGUGCUCGUUCACGCCUGAGUAAAUCAUGGAAUCUGUGUCUCACACAGUACCUCGAGCAGACGCUUCAAUACCACGCAGAACUCUGAAGGUCCCGGCCCGCGGGGCCUCCUCGCAUUUUGUGGGUUCCACCAUUGUCAUCCUCUCCUCUUAUGCUGUAGCAACUCUGGCUAUGAACUGUGGGAAAAAAAUCCAGGAACAGCAGAUGGGCACUGUGCCUUUAAAAAACUAAUGUGAGGACAGUGCAGGCGUUGAUAUUACACACUGACCACGUUACUUGAAGACCUGCAGUCUAAAGCAUGGAGCACUUUAGCUCUAAUGGCUCAUAAUGGAAUUAGAUUUGAGAAUGCCUUAUAAUUCUCUAAUCUAUGAGUUUGUGUUUGAUCUGGUACAACAGCAUCUGUUGGCUCUGUCACUACUGUGGAAAAAUAUCAACUGCUGAAUGGAGUGAGUCUGAUAUAAGUGGACUAUUAUGAUCCGUACAGUAUGGCUUUAUGUUAAAGACAAAGGAUAGCAUGAAUGGAUUCACAAUACCAUCAGAGGCAAAGUCUGUUCGCACACCGUACUAACACCAUGUAUGACUAAAUAAUGUCACUAUUUUUUGUCUUUGUUCUGGAUUAUACAUCUUAAUCUAGACUGAUCAUAUUUUUAAAUUCUUAAGUGAUUGUAGUGUAUAAUUUAAUAAAUUAAUACAAUUAUUGAAAUUUCUCAAUUUGUAUUCACUUUAGAUAAUGAAAAGGCAGAGUCUAUUUGCACUAAGUGUAAAAAGCAACAAAAAGCAUCUUUUUUGCUCUAAGUGCAAAUAGUGGCAGGUACUCUUACACCCCUGUUUAAAUAUUAACAUACAGUAUACUGGCAUCACUGCAGCAUUUUUAUUGUGUUUAUUUGGACACAGACACCCUACACCAACCCCUACCCCUACCUUACAAAAAUUAACCAGGGUUUUACUACUAUUAACUACUACUAACAACAUGUUACUGUAGUAACACCAUAGUUAGUACAUCAGAACUAUAUAGUUUCCACCAAAACACAUGGUUACUACAGUAAAACCAUGGUUAAUUUUAUCCGGAUCAAAUCCUUCUCUCAACUCACCGACCUUCGCUGUGACCAAAUCACUGUGAGGAAUCUCUUUUAUUUAUUACUAUAAGUAGUAUUAUAAGAAAUAUUAAGUAUGUCAAAGGGUGAGAUUCAAACCGGGAUCUCCAGCGUGACAACACAUACACAUACUGUCAUUACACCCAGAGCUGCUACAGCUGCACAUGGAGGUGCAUUUUGUCGUAAAAUCCUGUGUUUCCACCAGACUACUGAAGUGCAAAUAGUCACUUAGUUAUCCAAUCUCUUAAUCCACUAAAUGUUUAACCCGUUAACCAGUUUAAUGUUUCUGCCCCAUUGUGAAAAAAUGAAAUAUGUCCACCUCCAUUUGAUCAGCAGUUGACCCCAAAUAAAUCUGUUGUGGCUGUCUUGAGUUUGGUCUGACCAGUGAUGGGCGGAGUCAGUGUAAAUAGCCUGUGCCAACAAGAUGGGCUAUUUGCACUUAGUGUAAAUAGACACUCCGUAAUAAAAAUACAAUUUUCUCCAUCCUUGUUGACAGAUUGCAUAUAUUUUAAUCUCCAGUGAUUGUGUUCAAAUUGUGUCAAAUGUUUUACUAAUAUUAAUAUGCUGUUCCCAUAUAAAUAUAUAUAUAUAUAUAUGGACCC